rnacentral:rRNA from 1 species
UACGGAGGGUGCGAGCGUUGUCCGGAAUCAUUGGGCGUAAAGGGCGCGUAGGUGGCCCGGUCAGUUCGUGGUGAAAGCGCGGGGCUCAACCCUGCGUCGGCCAUGAAUACUGCCGCGGCUGGAGCACUGUAGAGGCAGGCGGAAUUCCGGGUGUAGCGGUGGAAUGCGUAGAGAUCCGGAACACCGUAUUGCGAAGGCAGCAGGCUAAGCGAAGAUUGACGCUGAGGCUCGAAAGCGUGGGGAUCAAACAGG